rnacentral:rRNA from 1 species
CCUACGGGAGGCAGCAGUGAGGAAUAUUGGUCAAUGGACGCAAGUCUGAACCAGCCAAGCAGCGUGAAGGAAGACGGCCCUAUGAGUUGUAAACUGCUUUUGUAAGGGGGUAAAGUGCGGUACGUGUACCGGGUUGAAAGUACCGUAUGAAUAAGGAUCGGCUAACUCCGUGCCAGCAGCCGCGGUAAUACGGAGGAUUCAAGCGUUAUCCGGAUUUAUUGGGUUUAAAGGGUGCGUAGGCGGGUCGUUAAGUCAGAGGUGAAAGCUCGCGGCUCAACGGCGUAACUGCCUUUGAUACUGUCAUCCUAGAGUUUAGUUGCGGUAGGCGGAAUGUGUGGUGUAGCGGUGACAUGCUUAGAUCUCACACAGAACUCCGAUUGCGAAGGCAGCCUGCCGAACUGUGACUGACGCUGAUGCUCGAAAGCGUGGGUAUCAAACAGGAUUAGAUACCCGUGUAGUC